UGUCUCUCACUACCAACGCCAACGGCA
rnacentral:piRNA from 1 species